rnacentral:rRNA from 1 species
AUUGAACGCUGGCGGCAGGCCUAACACAUGCAAGUCGAACGAGUUGCGGACGGGUGAGUAAUGUCUGGGAAACUCCCUGAUGGAGGGGGAUACCUACUGGAAACGGUAGCUAAUACCGCAUACUAUCGGCUGUGCCCAGAUGGGAGUAGCUUGUUGGUGGUGUAAAGGCUCACCUAGGCGACGAUCCCUAGCUGGUCUGAGUGGAUGACGAGCCAACCUGGAACUGAGCAACGGUCCAGACUCCUACGGGAGGCAGCAGUGGGGAAUAUUGCACAAGGGGCGCAAGCCUGAUGCAGCCAUGCAGCGUGUAUGAAGAAGGCCUUAGGGUUGGAAAGUACUGUCAGCGGGGAGGCGUUACCCGCAGAAGAAGCACCGGCUAACUCCGUGCCAGCCGCCGCGGUAAUAC